UUAGAUACCCUGGUAGUCCACGCCAUAAACGAUGAGUANUAAGUGUCGGGUUAANCCGGUACUGAAGUUAACACAUUAAGUACUCCGCCUGAGUAGUACGUACGCAAGUAUGAAACUUAAAGGAAUUGACGGGACUCCGCACAAGCGGUGGAUCAUGUUGUUUAAUUUGAAGAUACCCGAAAAACCUUACCAGGUCUUGACAUGUUUUUGCGAAACGGUAGUAAUAUCGUGGAGGUUAUCAGAAACACAGGUGGUGCAUGGUUGUCGUCAGCUCGUGUCGUGAGAUGUUAGGUUAAGUCCUAAAACGAGCGAAACCCUUAUCGUUAGUUGCCAGCACGUUAUGGUGGGGACUUUAACGAGACUGCCAGUGAUAAAUUGGAGGAAGGUGAGGAUCACGUCAAAUCAGCAUGCCCNNANGACCNGG
rnacentral:rRNA from 1 species